rnacentral:rRNA from 1 species
UACGACUACAUAUCAGGCAUAUCAAUAAGCGGAGGAAAAGAAACUAACAAGGAUUCCCUUAGUAACGGCGAGUGAAGCGGGAAGAGCUCAAAUUUGAAAUCUUCAAGGUUUUACCUUGACGAAUUGUAGUUUAAAGAAGUGUUUUCUGUUGAAGUUUCGGUAAAAGUUCUUUGGAAUAGGACAUCAUAGAGGGUGAGAAUCCCGUAUUUGACCGUUACUUUCCAGCUGUGUGAUACACUUUCAAAGAGUCGGAUUGUUUGGGAAUGCAGUCCAAAAUGGGUGGUAAAUUUCAUCUAAAGCUAAAUACUGGCGAGAGACCGAUAGCGAACAAGUACCGUGAGGGAAAGAUGAAAAGAACUUUGAAAAGAGAGUUAAACAGUACGUGAAAUUGUCAAAAGGGAAGCGUUUGACACCAGUGUUGUUUAGUUGAAAAUCAAUUCAAUAGUUUUUGAUUCUAAGUAGUAUUGACUUCAUCAGCUUGCUGCUUUCUUCUCAGAAAUUAUUGAAUGCACUUUUCAGUUAACAAGUCAACAUCAAUUUCUUUUGUUGUAAAAGGGUAAGAGGAAGGUGGCUUGCGCUUCGGCUCAAGUGUUUAUAGCCUUUUACCCCUGCAAUCGGAGAGAUUGAGGUCUGCAGCGUAGAUCCUUCGGGGUUAGAUACAUUUGUGCUAAGCUAUAGCCUUGUAUAGACAACUUGUUGACUAUGCUCAGUCAUGUAGCUUACUCGCUUAUGCUAUUUUACCUACGCUUAGGAUGUUGAACGCGCACAGAGUCUC